rnacentral:lncRNA from 1 species
UUCUCCAGCCCUUCUGUAGGAUACUGGCUCAGUCACCACACACACAGCUUCAGUCGAAGGUGAAAAGUGUUCGGGGAGCUGUGGAGAGACACCGAGCUGUCUCUAGGAUAGCCAUGCAGCCGGCCCCUCUCCAGACCUUCCUGCUAACAAAGUAAAAAACAAAUCUCAAUUUUAGGAACCAAUGAAAAAUGUAAUUCAUUCUACAGCUGACUUGGCUUGACCAUUCCUCUCAUAGAAUGUGAAAGAAGAGCCGGAAAGUAAGUGUUAUUAAGAGACUAGUUUUUCAAAUAAUAGAAUCAAAGAAGUACAAAUGCAUUUAGGCAUGAAAGCAAUCGUUUGAACAUAAGAUGAACUUUAACGGUUAGUGAAAAACUGUAUAAAAUUAUCAAGAAACCAUUUGUUUUGAGUUUACGUUUAAACUUCCA